UUUUCUAAACCUAAUCAUAACUAAUCGCCUCUCUCCCCUUUCUCAAAAAUCUUCAUUUCUCUUCUUUCUCAAAAUCGCGAGGAGAGCUCUUCUUUCAUUCUCUCAAUCGGCCUCACUCCUAAAGGAUAUCCAGCGACUCCAUUUCUGAAUAAGGUUAGGAUGUUUGCAAUUAUUCUUCAAGAUUUAUCUGUAAUACCCACAGAUGUUUCGGGCGCAUUUCCUAUGGAGAUUUGUGAAGAGGAGAAAGAAGUAUUGCCUGAAAGUGGUGAUUCUACUAGUCAAGACCAUGUUGUUGUGGAUUCAGUGAAGUCUCACUGCCGAAUUAAUGAAACACGUGAUGGUAAUAGUGGGAAGCUUUUAGGAUGGAUUACUCAAAAAGAUUGUAGUGUUAAGGCCAAAAUUGAAUGUCCAAGCAAUAUGUUAAUUCGAGCAUACAUGAAAAUCAAUUAGCGAAAAAAAUGUUUGAGCUGCUAAAGCUAAGUACUCAUUCCUGAAACAGACGCCAUCGUCUCAGAGGUUCCAGAUGAGGACAGCUUAGUCAUUACGUAAAAUUAAUUAAGAUAAUUUUGAUAAUCUCAUUUUUUAUCAUUAGCUGCGACUUGUUUUACCAAACAUUUAAACAUGAUAACUCACAACUAUCUUUAUCUUUAGUUACCGUAUAUCUAAUCAAGAUAAAUUAACUAAUUAUAACAUGACUAGAGGAAACAUGACAUGAUUACUAAAUUAAUUACAGAAAAUAUAUUUAUCUCUGUAGGCCGGUUGAGACAGGCCAAUAUAUCCAGCGCCGCUGCCCGCCCUUGCCUAGCACUGAAGAUUGAGGUGGUUGUAUGUGCAAUUGUGCAUUGUUUCCUGUUGUUUAUGUAGUAAUCCCUGGUUGUUAAGCGAUGAAACUGAUGAUUGCAGUGAAAAUCUGGAGAAAAUGUUUUCAUAAUUCUAUAACGAGAGAGAUUGCAGCUCGAAAAAGUUGAGGAAAAGAAAUUUGCUUAUUUUGCUGCUCCUAGUUUGUUAGAGGGAAUGAAGAUUGUGAGCUAUGUUAUGUUAGCCUUCCCAGACCUAGUGUUCUGCUUGUGCAUUGCGAUUUGCCUGCUUUGGUUUUCCAUGGAUCAAAA